AUUUUCUAUUGGUCAAAGCAAACACUGUAAUUUGUGGCUGAAAUACCAGCCUGUUAGCAAGGUGCUUUGCAAGCUGCGGCGCCUUGAGCAAGGAGGUCCAUGUGAGUUAGAAGUUCUUGGAAAGAAGGGUAUGGUCCAAUUAAAUGGAAGGUCCAUAAGUUCAGGCACAAAAGUUCCCCUUACAGGAGGGGAUGAAGU